UACGGGGGGGGCAAGCGUUGUUCGGAAUUACUGGGCGUAAAGGGCUCGUAGGUGGCCAACUAAGUCAGACGUGAAAUCCCUCGGCUUAACCGGGGAACUGCGUCUGAUACUGGAUGGCUUGAGUUUGGGAGAGGGACGCGGAAUUCCAGGUGUAGCGGUGAAAUGCGUAGAUAUGGAGGAACACCGGUGGCGAAGGCGGCGUCCUGGACCAACACUGACACUGAGGAGCGAAAGCCAGGGGAGCAAACGGG
rnacentral:rRNA from 1 species